rnacentral:rRNA from 1 species
UACGUAGGUGGCAAGCGUUGUUCGGAAUUACUGGGCGUAAAGCGCGCGUAGGCGGCUCUUCAAGUCAGGCGUGAAAGCCCCGGGCUUAACUCAGGAACUGCGCUUGAUACUGUCGAGCUAGAGUGUGGAAGGGGCGAUUGGAAUUCCGUGUGUAGCGGUGAAAUGCGUAGAUAUACGGAGGAACACCAGGGGCGAAGGCGG